CAGAACGAACGCUGGCGGCGCGUCUUAAGCAUGCAAGUCGAACGGCAAGAGGUAGCAAUACCUCCUAGAGUGGCGGACUGGUGAGUAACACGUGGGUGACAUACCCUCCAGAUGGGGAUAGCUAUUAGAAAUAGUAGAUAAUACCGAAUACGAGCACAGGGGUUAGAGAUCUGUGAGGAAAGGAGCUAAGGCUCCGCUGAAGGAAUGGCCUGCGGCCCAUUAGCUAGUUGGUGAGGUAAGAGCCCACCAAGGCGAUGAUGGGUAUCCGGCCUUAGAGGGUGAACGGACACAUUGGGACUGAGAUACGGCCCAGACUCCUACGGGAGGCAGCAGCUAAGAAUAUUCCGCAAUGGACGAAAGUCUGACGGAGCGACGCCGCCGUGGAUGAAGAAGGCCGGAAGGUUGUAAAAUCCUUUUGAAACUGAAGAAUAAGCGUUGUAGGGAAUGACAGCGUGGUGACAGUAGGUUUUGAAUAAGCAACGGCUAAUUACGUGCCAGCCGCCGC
rnacentral:rRNA from 1 species